rnacentral:rRNA from 1 species
AAUCAACGCUGGCGGCGUGCCUCAGACAUGCAAGUCGAACGAUUAAAGCUCCCUUCGGGGAGUGCAUAAAGUGGCGCACGGGUGAGUAACACGUAAGUAAUCUACCCUCGGGUGGGGAAUAACAUCGGGAAACCGAUGCUAAUACCGCAUAAUGCAGCGGCACCGCAAGGUGACAGUUGUUAAAGAUUUAUUGCCUGGGGAGGAGCUUGCGGCAGAUUAGCUGUUGGUAAGGUAACGGCUUACCAAGGCUACGAUCUGUAUCCGGUCUAAGAGGACGGUCGGACACACUGACACUGAAUAACGGGUCAGACUCCUACGGGAGGCAGCAGUCGGGAAUUUUGGGCAAUGGGGGAAACCCUGACCCAGCAACGCCGCGUGAAGGAUGAAGUAUUUCGGUAUGUAAACUUCGAAAGAAUAGGAAGAAUUAAUGACGGUACUAUUUAUAAGGUCCGGCU